CAGCAGAUACACCUCUUUAAGUGAAGAUAUGUCCAAGGAGAUCUGAAAAUAGUUUUGUUUUUUUCAAAGGACAAUGUGGAAUCUAAAGACAUCAUCAUUUUGCCAGCAUGGUCUAGGGGGUCACAAACAGCAAGCCACUACAUGCUUUGUGUACAGUUACAUUGUUUUUUAGUUUUUCUUCUAUUUUUAAACCAGUUGGUGACCCUAUAGCUGACAUUAAUAGGGUAUGUUCUUCACAGGUGUUAUUAGUUGCUAAGAAGGAGGCUAUUUUUCUGGACUCAUUAUGUCCAAAUGGGUUUGGAGAUGAGAAAUACCAAAUCAUAUUUAGACAACUUGCAGGAGAAGUGGCUAAUGGACCGUAGGUGGAGAAGACGGGCAAAGAUUUUGAUCCAUUUCCAGUUCAGUCAGAUGGACAGAGCUGUGGGAUAUUCAUGCUUAUGACUGACAUCCCAUCUAUUCGUAAGUCGUGGUGUAUCCAGAUUCUGGAGAAAUUCUCGAUUGCAAGGCAUGGGCAGAACUUUGGGCAGCGCUUUGCUUUCUGGACAGAGGAGGCAGAACAGCUGAUGGCAGGCACCCUACCACCUAUUUAUAGGAUUUAUCGACCCCAAAUAGUGAAGGUAUGGCCAAACUAACCAGACAACCAUUUUUACGUAUGCAUUCUAUAUAGGUAGGUCAAAAAAAUUGAAUAUUGUGCAAAAGUGUGUGAAUUACUGAAUUAAAGGGUUAGU